ensembl:lncRNA
GUUUGCAAGGGGAAGUAAGGCCUCUUAGCUAAACACAAUGAGAUCCCUCUGAUGACCUUUCAAGUGUUGCAGAGGAAUGUAAGCAGAUCAGGCAGGCAGAGUUUGAACCAUGACAUGGUGGAGGGCAGCGCUGCCGUCAGACUGAACUCAAUGCUGGGCAGUAAUGGUGGCUCUUAGUCAAACCUGAAGUCCUGGGGUACCACAGCGCUCCCUGUGCAGUACGACGGGGCAAAAGGUGAGGGCGGGAAGCCAAACAAAGGCAUGUGUGCCUCUGCCAUCGUCGAGCGGGACCCCUCGCUCGUCUGUCAGAAUGCCGGAGUGCACCGUUUUCAAUGGCAUUCCGCAUUCCAACACUGGAGAAAGUGGCCGGUGAGAGGGCAGCAUGUCAUCCCCACGGUAACAAGACCCUUGGGCGGGUUGAGAAAAGGGGGUGUAGAAGCACUACAGUGAGCCUUGUCCUCACUCUCAGGUGAUGUGAGGAACUUUUUGUGUUAUGUGGAGUAUAACACACUGCUGCUUUUGACCCCACACACAUCCAUUACUGUAGAAUGUGGCCCUGUUGGGUCAACGGGGAC